UACGUAGGGGGCUAGCGUUGUCCGGAAUUAUUGGGCGUAAAGCGCACGUAGGCGGCAUUGCAAGUCGGAUGUGAAAUCUUAUGGCUUAACCAUAAAAGUGCAUCCGAAACUGCAGUGCUUGAGUACUUAAGAGGAUCGCGGAAUUCCCGGUGUAGAGGUGAAAUUCGUAGAUAUCGGGAGGAACACCAGUGGCGAAGGCGGCGAUCUGGGAAGAUACUGACGCUGAGGUGCGAAAGCGUGGGGAGCAAACAGG
rnacentral:rRNA from 1 species